UCAAAGGGGUGCCCCGUACGCGGGCUGAGAUCAUACCCUCGAACCUGAUGCAGGUAAUGCUGCCGUAGGAAUUGGAUAU
rnacentral:ncRNA from 1 species